rnacentral:lncRNA from 10 species
GCAAAGGGUGUUUAAAUGGUCUGCCCAAAGUCACACAGCUAAGAAGCAGUGAUGGGAUAUGAAGUCAAACAGUCUUAAAAGCAAGCUAUCCUGUUGCAAAAUACAGCAUCUUACUCGAAUGUUUGUUGAGUCUCCAGAUGGAACAGAUCCAAAACAGAACCGCCAGGCUUUGGUAACAGGAUGAUGCUGGCCUCAUAAAAUGAGUUAGGGAGGAUUCCCUCUUUUUCUACUGAUUGGAAUAGUUUCAGAAGGAAUGGUACCAGUUCCUCCUUGUACCUCUGGUAGAAUUCGGCUGUGAAUCCAUCUGGUCCUUGACUUUUUUUGAUUGAAAUUAGUUGAUAACGUCUUCCAGGAGACCUACGGCCAUCCUACUGAUAUGAACCAGAUCAUACCUGCCCUGAUGGGAUGCCAGAGAAAGACUGCUGCAAGGUACGCGCCACUCACAGACCUCUCCAUUUAUCUCACUGAUGCAAAGGACCCUGAGUAGGGAUCCUCUGGAAACAGAACAGAGGGAAGAAGAUACCUUCCCUGAAGCCCAGAUGUUCCAGAAGCCUGCGCCUCAUUCACAAAGUCACCCCAAAAAUGCCCUAGAGUUUGGAGUUUUGAAGAAGCGGGAAGAAGGCCUGAGUAAGGGCCUGGGAACCAAGUUAGAUCCUACUUCAGCAUCAGCACAUGCCAGCGAUGGUGCACACAGGUGGAGAGCGGCCUGCCCGUCUUUUCCAUGGUGCCCACAGACCCAUUUAGGAUGAAAGAUCAGAAAAUUCUCUCCAUGUCACCGCUUCUGAAACAUGUGAAUAUUAAUAUUUGGUGCCUAAAAGGCCAUGGCAAAUUUUCAUUGGUUUUAUCUUAUUCAUGAUUAUAGAGUUGAAAGAAUAC